rnacentral:lncRNA from 1 species
AAUUGGGCUGUUGUCGAAAGUGCUCAUUUGUGUUUCACUCGAUCAGCGAUUUUUUUUUUUUUUUUUUUUUGUUUUAACUGCGAAGUUAUUUUGUUUUCGAUGAUUAAACGGUUGUUAUGGCCGUAUAAAACUAGGAAUUAAAAACAAAAGAGAGAAACUCGUUCUGUGUUAAUAACGUGGAAGAAACCAAUUAAAAACGGUUUACAACCGAAGGUUGAAAUUACAAACUAAACAAAAACAGUAAAAAAUUGCUUGUUUUCUUGUGUUUCCAGAUAAAAAUCUAGGUCAUUCUAUAUAUUCCAUCAAGUAAUAUAAAUAUAUAUAUAUAUAUACACACACACAAGACCACUGACUACAUUACUGGUUGCUUAAUCGGGGCGACUAUUGUUUUCGUCACACCAAAGAAACGGCUUCCUGAUGUAUUUAUAAAUGUAGAAAUGGGCGUAUUUUGUCAUUUACACACUAAAAAUUUUUUUCAAAACACGAAAUUUCGCAUGGAUUAAAAAAGAAGAGUAAAAAAAAAUAAUAUAUGUAUGAUAACGAUUUGGAUCUAGUUGUGAAGUCUAAGGAUGUGUUAUGACAGCAUAGACAUCUGUCGUGUUGGAAAGAAGGCAUUUUUUUUUUUUUUUCGUCAGAAUGCGGCCCCGUUCUGUCUAGUGUCUCGCUUCCUCCCCUAGUCGAGUUGUGCGGGGAGGAAAAGCAAAGCGGGUAUGACGUCAGCCGACUGUUGUAGACACACCCACUUCCAGUGUUCUAUUGUCUGAGUCUGGCAGGUGAUGGUAGUGGCCGUGUACGCUUUCUGUACGUCUGUGUGUAGUAGUGUAUUUGUGUGUGUGUGUGUGUGUGUAUGUGUGUGCGCGGAUAUAUAUUAAAAGCCGAGUAAGCGUCAGAACAGGUGAGUGAGAGUCUCGAUAUUGUUUAAUGGAUUCGCUUUUGUUCGAUUUUUGUAGAGAGGAAUGCUUUAAAAUCGUUGGCAAUCUGCUGAAGUUCUGCGAGUGGUAGUUAGAUCGCUGCACACACAGAAAAUUAUUAUCUGACAAUCGAUAGUUUUGCAUUUUAAGCGUGCACUCUUCACUUUAGUACGUCGAAUGCGUAUAUAUGUAUAAGAGCGUAAUUAACAGUCGUCGCAUUGUGUCUAUUUAACGAGUGAUAUCAUCGGCAGGAAAUCGUUCUCGACUCUGAGGGGAAAACUGACACCGGAUAUACAUCUGCGGAAAUGGUGACGUAAGCGGUGGAGGGGAUGAAGGAAUUCUGGGAAGACUACUUCCGAACGUAAGCCACCCCAAUAAUAGCAUCCUGGGAAAAGAGAAUGAAAGAUAUCGAGGCGUGCCUACUAUGCAUCCUAAUCUGGGUGGGGAAGAAAUGAUAUAGAAGUCCAACAGGGCGGGAUCGUGUCUUUUUAAAUAAGAAAAAUGGCAGUUUCCAUAGCGUAGUAUAUGUAUCUCUACUAACUACAACAGGAUCUCUAUGAACGGUGUUUAUAUUUCUAAUAACUGCAAGAGGUAACUGGUAUUUCUAAUAAACAGCGUGUAUAUUUCUAACUACAAGGGUUUCAUAACAGUGCGUAUAUUUCUAUUAACUGCAAGAUAGUUUCUUGAAUAGUGUCUAUAUUUCUACUAACUGCAAGAGGUUUUCAUAAACAGUAUGUAUACUUCUAACUACAAGAGGGUUUCUUAGUAUAGAAUGUAUAUUUCUACUAGUUACAAGAAGGUUUACAAAGCAUAAUAUUUUUACCAAUUACAAGAAAGUUUACGAAGCAUAGUGUGUAUAUUUCUACUAAUUACAAGAGGGUUUACAAAGCAUAUUGUAUAUAUUUCCACUCGUUACAAGAGAGUUUGCAAAGCGUAGUGUUUAUAUUUCUACUAGUUACAAGAGGAUUUACAAAGCAUAACAUGUAUGUUUUUACAAUUACAAGGUUUGUAAAGCAUAGUAUAUAUAUUUCUACUAGUUACAAGAGAGUUUACAAAACAUAGUUUGUAUAUUUCUAUUAGUUACAAGAGGGUUUAUAAAGCAUAGUGUUUAUAUUUCUACCGAUUACAAAGGAGUUUCUUAGCUUAGUGUAUAUAUUACUACGUAUCUCUCUUGUAACUAGUAGUUACUAGUUACAAGAGGGUUUCCAAGCAUAUUGUGCAUUUCUACCAAUUACAAGAGGGUUUCUUAGCCGAGUGUGUGUAUAUUUCUAGUAAAUUUAAGAAGGUUUCCAUAUCACAGUGUACGUAUCUCUACUAACUGCAAGUGUUUAUCCCCACGUUGCUUAUUAAGGUCAAUCGUUAUCUUAUGCCAAAGUUUUUGGUGGGACAAUCGUAUCGAUUUGGCAAUUUCCACGCGGCGUGCUUCGAUAAUUAAGCAUGCAUGGCAGAUCGCGUAUUCGCUCCGUUGUGUAAGCAGAAUGACACAGCGAUGAUUUCCAAACUAAUGACAGAAACAUUAUAUAGACCAACAACGAUAGUUUGUACGACAAACAACGUUUCAGUACCAGGUGAUGCACACACGCGCGCAUACAUACAUACAUAUACACCCCUUUUCUAUCAAAAUAUUUGUUCGCCACCGACGAAAAAUUUCUGCCAACGAACGUAAUUAAACAAAAUUGGAAUUAAGACUUCGGUUAUACGGGAUUUAUGUUACGAGAAUUGAUUAGCUGAUCGUUCAUCCAAGUAUUGCGUUAUGGUAUUAUGGCUUAACAGCGAGAGAAGCAGUGCGGUUAAGUCUUCCAUGCGUGCCAAAUGACUAUACACGCUGAUUGUGUCGAGAGGAAAUAUAAAAAUCCCACUUGUCUGACCUCCGUUCAUUGUUUUAAUGCGACCUCGCCAUUACGAAAAUCGAUUCUUCGAAUUUCUGUUCGACUUCAUUAGUUUUUCCUUCCUGACUUCGUCAUUCUCAGAAAAUUUAAGGGUUUAACAUAGAAAAAAAAAAAACAAAAAAAGUCUCGAUUCUCACUAGAAAUCGAAUCCGGAUCGAGUAUCUCUCGAGGUGAACCACUUUGCAUAGCAAUGACCCAACUUUCGUUUUUAUCGUCACGCGAUGUUAAGUGUUGCCAUACGUGCCGAGUUAAAAAAGAAAAAUAAUAAUAAUAAUAAUAAUAAUGUGGAAGCAGAAACCGUGCAUUUUAAAUUGCAAUUUCUGGAAAGUAAAAAAAAAAAAAAAAUUUAAAUGAUGUAACGUUACCGCUAACAAUUAUAAAUGGCC